rnacentral:lncRNA from 1 species
GGUUUUUUUUUUUUUUUUUUUUUUUUUUUUCUUUUUUUUCUAAGAUCGGCGACUCACAUAUAUCGGAUAAGGAUGUUGUCCAAAGAGUCGGAAAGUGAAAGAGCCUGCAGAGAAGACAGGACAGAAGUCUGGUCCACCCAGAUAAACUGACAUAGAAGGUCAGCCAAUCGGCUGCACUGUUGGCCUCUCCGUAGACAUGAGUAGUUCAAUGGAAAGCACAUUCAUUUCAUAGACGGCGAAUAUCGUAGAGCAGUCGCAUCCCUCCAUCAGUGCUCCCGGGCCUCUGGAUCUCC